rnacentral:lncRNA from 1 species
GGGGGGGAAGAGAAGAGAGGUCUAGCGUUCCCCCAUUGACUGAGCAACCAACUUCGCGUUUACGGGACUUUGGUUACAUAAAAUGGGGUUCGUUCAAUGUUGUCCUGCACACUGAUUUCGUGAAAUUUGUGAAUAAAGUAACUAUGGAAAGACUAUGGAAAGAAGCUCCUAAAAAAAGUGGAUAAAGACGUGGUUUGAACACGGGAGGUGGAAUAGAAUAUAGAAGAUACAGGUUAAUUCCGGCUGCCCCAUCUGUGUGCCAGAAGAACGCAGAGAGAGAGAGAUUGGACAUUCUGGAACCCCCAGCGGGACGGUCUCGUUUUCAGCCACCGAGCUUCCAAAAGUCCCAAAGCCCUGAGGAUCAAGAUCAACAAACUGAUGCAGACUUCUUCAACUUUUCAUAAAAGGCCUUCAAAUGAUGGUGGCAAACCGGGAGACGGAGGGAGGGAGAGAGAGGGAGUCAGGCUGCUGACGUCUCAUGUGGUAGAUAUUAAAAUAAAGCGGGUGGUAAUGGGAAACAGGUGAGGACACACACACACUGCUUGAGUCGUAUGCCACAGUGAUCUGUGUUCAUUUCCUGUUGUGUUAUCUUAGGUCUUGGUACUGAACAUGGUCUACAGGCUACAUGUUAUAGUUAGUGGAUGUAUGGGGGGGGGGGGGGGGGGGGGGGGGGGGUUAUAGUCUAGACUGGAUAAAAGCAAAGUGAAACACUAUCUGUGUGUGAUGAAGAAGAGAGGAGAAGAGGAGAUCACUUGCCUAGCUACUACCUCUGGUUUUAUUGUCUUCAGAUCACAUUGACUUGCGUUGAGAGGGUUGGCUGAUCCUCAGGUUAAAUGGGUCAUCAAUUAUCUAUAUCAACCAUCAUCUUGGUUGUUUUUAGUGUUUAAUUUAACCUGUAUUUAACUAGGUUAUGGCACAAUGUAUUACAUGUAUAGGCCUUCAUGGCUUCAUUUCAAUCUCAUUUAAUCUGUACAUAUUAUUAUGUUUUUUUUUUUUUUUUACAUUCAAGUGAGGUAAACAAGCAAAUCUAAAUGGUUGAAUUGGAUUAAUAUUUGUAGGUUAACCAUUAGUCCUCAUCCCCUCAUCUC